AUGAGCUGGCAUGGGUCAACAUACAUUUCAUUACCAGGCAAAAGAGCCAUGUCUACUGGUGCACCAUGUUCAGGGGAGGCCUUUGGUGCACAACUACACAAAUACGGGACUGAGGUAACAAGGAUUCAGGAAGGUAGUUGGUACUGUGAGAGACUGUGUUAUGUGAUUAUUGACUCAAAUCAUGCUGUGAGAGACUGGACUAUUGGAGCUAACAGCUCAGACAAUUUGGUGAGUGCUUUGCUAGUGAUGCACAGAGUGCAGAAGGGUGUGCAUGCUUGGGGCUACAAGCUGGGUUUCCAGAUAAUGCAGGAGGCUGAUAAAAGACAAAUCCUGAGAGGGGGCAUAAGUCCUUCUUAUCAUGCCAAUGUCCUCCCUUCAUGAUGACUCAUCUGUGAAAACUCCCUUCCGAGGUAUCAGGACAGUCACAUGUAGGAUGAAGAUGGGUAUGUCACAUGUAGGAUGAUGGGCUAUAAUGGGUCUUGACUGAUUCAACUACGAUGGUAAGAGACAGCUGCAACAUUUUAGAAGAUGUCAAAGACUCAUGAAUUGUGCCAUGAUCCAGUGUUACAUCAUCCAGGGGAGGUACAGGAGGCAUUUCCACACAGCCUCAUCAUAAUGUAAAACCCAUGGACCUGGUGUUUUUUGAGUUCUUUCCCUCCACCACUUGAUGGAUAAAGUCUGCAACCAUCACCUCAACAAGACUGCAAUCACUGAGAAGACCAGAAGAAGAGGACCAAUGGGACAUCGUUGGAAUCUAUGGAGUGGUCAUAUUUUCUUCUGCUUUACUUUUUUCUCUGUUACUUUCUUUCUCCCCUCCUCUUCCCCCCACCCCGUUCCCACCCCAUAUCUCUCUCCCCCCCUCACAUUUACUGUUUAAUAAAAGCUGUACUGUUGACUUCA
rnacentral:lncRNA from 1 species